CGAACGAUUACGUAAGUUCGAUGUGGUGUGGUCGGCGCCCCCCCCCUCUCACCUUCGCAUAAGGGGGUAAUGUGCUUAUUUUGACGAACACAACCCCCUUCCCUCACCUAAGAUUGCGGGGACUUCGACAGGGUGAUAAAAGUGAGGGAGGUGGUUUCUACAGUAGUGUCUGUCUUCUUGCUUUUUCAAGAGGAGGUCCGCCGGCUGCUAUUACCUCUCUCUGUCGGGGGGUGGGCACAGUAUCUUGCCAGAAAGAUACUUGGUUGCCGAACGAAAGAGCGGAUAUGGCAAUACACAGCAGCAUCGAUCAAGAGAUGUCUUUGUGGAGGCCUUUUCAGGAAAACAGGCUCUCAUCCACGUUACACAUGAGGAAAACAACAAAAACUCCCAUGCAGUCAGCCGGUUCAGAGAUAGUUCAAACAGUGUUCAGUGACUACAGCGGUGGUGGACAUUUACUAAGUUUUGGUUUACAGUUUAGAACACCUAUGUAGCUGGAAUAAUCUCCAAAGAUUAAGCUUCUCCAAAUACAGAAUGCUUUGCCGGGCACUGUAAUCUUCCUCAACAGAUGAAUUAAUUUAGGUGACAUGAUGGCAGUGGAUAUGAAAACUCCCAGAGCAUCAAAGCCUCUUGAUAAAUUUGAAACAACACUUUUUUCUGUAUCGGAGAAAAAUUUGAAUAAAAUUCAAGGUUAUGU